CUCUGCUCUUAGACCCAUCCUUUCCACUAUACUCCACAUUUCCCAAGUUAUCUUUCUGAAGCAUAGAUUGGAUCCUGUCUCUCCCACUCAGAACUCUCAAUGGCUCCCUAUCACCUACAGGACAACCUGAACUCCUCAGCAUGACUUCAAGGCCUUUCUCAGUCUUCCCCCAUCGACCUCUCAUCUUACCAUGUCCUCCCACACUGCUCGCUCCUGGCACUCCAUCUGGCGCAGAGUCCCUGGCACAGAAAGCUCCUGGACUUUGGAAAGGUGCAGCUGGAAGAGAAGGGAAGUGAUGCGCAGCCCCCUAUGAAGUCACUCCACCUUGUGACUUCCACCCUCUACCCUGCUGUCCCACAGAGCUGACCUGACAACUGCCACGGCCCCUGACCCUGACUAGAUGAACCUGGGUGGUGGGGGUGGGGGUGGGGCUGCAUUGCCAGCCCCUCAUCAUCUCAGGAAGUGAAGCCUGGGCCAGGGGCUACAGAUGCCCCAUCUCUCCAGGCUGACUUGGGGAUCUGCAGGUUACAGAGUCCCUGAUUUAACCCAGCAGAUUCUAAUGGCCAGAGUUCAGAGAAGAGAGGAAUUCCUUUGAGGCAUGCAGAACCCUUAAAGCAUGGCUCUGCCCAGGUCCAAAGACCCCUGGAGAGCCCUAUACCACAUCCUCAAGGCAGAAAGAAACUCAGGUCUCUCUUUUUCUGAAUUGGUGAGGCUCUUUUCUC
rnacentral:lncRNA from 1 species